UAAAAUGAGCUCUGGUGAUCAGCCUCCUCCUGCGUAUUAUCCAGGUUAUCCGUCAGCUCCGAUUUCGGCGCAGCCAGGUACAAACCAGCCACCACCAGGAUACGCGCCACCUCAGUAUGGCGUGGGAUACGACACUAAAGGUGCGGCACCACCCCCUGCUCCUCCAAAUGUGGCCCCAUAUCCGGGCCAAAGUCAGCCUCAUGCUACUACCGUAAAUGUGGCAGUGAUGUCUCCGAACGCUUACGGCGUGAACAGAAGCCUGGGCUCCUACUCUGCACAGGUCAAUUGUCAACACUGUCACGCAUAUGUGAGCACUAAUGUACAUUACGAGACUGGCACCCUGGCAUGGCUGUUGUGUCUGGGUCUGUGUUGUGUGGGCUGUGACCUGGGCUGCUGUCUCAUCCCCUUCUGUGUGGACCAGUGCAAAGAUGCCUACCACACCUGUCCCAACUGCAACGCCUCCAUUGGAACUCACAGCGCACUGUGAGCUUGCAAUCAUUCAAUCAAGCAUACAACCGCAAUCAUGCAGUAAACAACAACAACAGCAAAAAAAGCACGAUCGCUUCUCAACCAACGGCGAGGGCUGGAGACACCGACGAGCUAGGAGGUACGAUGCGUACUUGCAACGAUACAACUAUUAAGCGGACCACCAAAAUCAAAAUUUACCAGAUUUGAUCAGCGAGUUCGGAGGAUGAGAAGAUGAGAAGCAUUACAAAUCUGAAGAACGAUUGGAAACCAAGGACAAAAAUCGUUCUCCGUAUGGUUUUUUCACUUGUUGGUUUCUGAAAAACUCGUGCAAACAUCCGAUAGUGCAAUCAUCGGAAAUCACAGAAAUGUAAUAAUAUGACAUCGCUGUCGCAAAGUUGCGAGUUGAAAUCGUCCAAUAAGUCGGUUUCUAU